rnacentral:rRNA from 1 species
UACGGGGGGGGCAAGCGUUGUUCGGAAUUACUGGGCGUAAAGGGCUCGUAGGCGGCUGGCUUAGUCGGACGUGAAAUCCCCCGGCUCAACCGGGGAAUGGCGUCCGAUACUGGCUGGCUGGAAUCCGGGAGAGGGAUGCAGAAUUCCAGGUGUAGCGGUGAAAUGCGUAGAUAUCUGGAGGAAUACCGGUGGCGAAGGCGGCAUCCUGGACCGGCAUUGACGCUGAGGAGCGAAAGCCAGGGGAGCAAACGGG